UUAUUUGUGAGAGGUGCUGUAGUGGUCCACUAGAGCAGUUUGCUGCAAGCCCCGUCCAGCCUGGCCUUGCACACUGUCAGCGAUGGGGCAGCCACAGCUUCCCUGGGCACCCUAUGCCAGUGUCCCACCACCCUCAGGGAAGAAUUCCUUCCUAAAGUCUGAUCUAAAUCCCGCCUCUUUCAGUUUAAAGCCA